UACGUAGGGGGCAAGCGUUGUCCGGAUUUAUUGGGCGUAAAGAGCGUGUAGGCGGCCGUACAGGUCAGCUGUGAAAACUCGAGGCUCAACCUCGAGACGUCGGUUGAAACCGUACGGCUAGAGUCCGGAAGAGGAGAGUGGAAUUCCCGGUGUAGAGGUGAAAUGCGCAGAUAUCGGGAAGAACACCCGUGGCGAAGGCGGCUCUCUGGGACGGUACUGACGCUGAGACGCGAAAGCGUGGGGAGCGAACAGG
rnacentral:rRNA from 1 species